GCGCCCGUAGCUUAACGGACAAAGCACGAGGCUUCGAACCUUGGGAUGGGGGUUCGAUUCCCUCCGGGCGCGCCA
rnacentral:tRNA from 1 species